rnacentral:rRNA from 1 species
AUCAUGGCUCAGAUUGAACGCUGGCGGCAGGCCUAACACAUGCAAGUCGAACGGUAACAGGAAGCAGCUUGCUGCUUUGCUGACGAGUGGCGGACGGGUGAGUAAUGUCUGGGAAACUGCCUGAUGGAGGGGGAUAACUACUGGAAACGGUGGCUAAUACCGCAUAACGUCGCAAGACCAAAGAGGGGGACCUUCGGGCCUCUUGCCAUCAGAUGUGCCCAGAUGGGAUUAGCUUGUUGGUGAGGUAACGGCUCACCAAGGCGACGAUCCCUAGCUGGUCUGAGAGGAUGACCAGCCACACUGGAACUGAGACACGGUCCAGACUCCUACGGGAGGCAGCAGUGGGGAAUAUUGCACAAUGGGCGCAAGCCUGAUGCAGCCAUGCCGCGUGUAUGAAGAAGGCCUUCGGGUUGUAAAGUACUUUCAGCGGGGAGGAAGGUGUUGUGGUUAAUAACCACAGCAAUUGACGUUACCCGCAGAAGAAGCACCGGCUAACUCCGUGCCAGCAGCCGCGGUAAUACGGAGGGUGCAAGCGUUAAUCGGAAUUACUGGGCGUAAAGCGCACGCAGGCGGUCUGUCAAGUCGGAUGUGAAAUCCCCGGGCUCAACCUGGGAACUGCAUUCGAAACUGGCAGGCUUGAGUCUUGUAGAGGGGGGUAGAAUUCCAGGUGUAGCGGUGAAAUGCGUAGAGAUCUGGAGGAAUACCGGUGGCGAAGGCGGCCCCCUGGACAAAGACUGACGCUCAGGUGCGAAAGCGUGGGGAGCAAACAGGAUUAGAUACCCUGGUAGUCCACGCCGUAAACGAUGUCUACUUGGAGGUUGUGCCCUUGAGGCGUGGCUUCCGGAGCUAACGCGUUAAGUAGACCGCCUGGGGAGUACGGCCGCAAGGUUAAAACUCAAAUGAAUUGACGGGGGCCCGCACAAGCGGUGGAGCAUGUGGUUUAAUUCGAUGCAACGCGAAGAACC